GGNAUAACACCUGGAAACAGAUGCUAAUACCGGAUAACAACAGAUGAUGCCUAUCAACUGUUUAAAAGAUGGUUCUGCUAUCACUCUUGGAUGGACCUGCGGUGCAUUAGCUAGUUGGUAGGGUAACGGCCUACCAAGGCGAUGAUGCAUAGCCGAGUUUAGAGACUGAUCGGCCACAUUGGGACUGAGACACGGCCCAAACUCCUACGGGAGGCAGCAGUU
rnacentral:rRNA from 1 species